UACGGAGGGUGCGAGCGUUAAUCGGAAUUACUGGGCGUAAAGCGCGCGUAGGUGGUUUGUUAAGUCGGAUGUGAAAGCCCUGGGCUCAACCUGGGAAUUGCAUUCGAUACUGGCGAACUAGAGUGCGAGAGAGGGAGGUAGAAUUCCACGUGUAGCGGUGAAAUGCGUAGAUAUGUGGAGGAAUACCGGUGGCGAAGGCGGCCUCCUGGAUCGACACUGACGCUGAGGUGCGAAAGCGUGGGGAGCAAACAGG
rnacentral:rRNA from 1 species